rnacentral:lncRNA from 1 species
ACCCGGCUGUGGACCCUAGGAGAGUCGAGGAAAGUCUUCCUUCUCCUACACUUUAUCCGGGGCAUCGAUUCCUUACCUUCUAUGCCUGGCUGUCUCCUCUACCACAUGCUUCAUCCUCAGGAUGAGAACUGCUUUAUGAAAACCAGAAGGCUGGAAAGUCUGGAGCCCAGGUUUGCAGGUUUGGAUCCCAGGUGUGGACCUAUACCACUCGUCAACCGUGCUGUGACACCAAUCCACAUACAAAGUGGAGGAGGAGAAGGAUUGGCACAGAUGUUAGCUCAGGGCUACUCACCUCAACCCAAAAAAAAAAGAACUAAAUUGACAUGAGACAGAAUAACACAAGAAAAUAAAACAAAGUUUAAUAACGUAUACACGGGAGAAACCCAGGAAAACUGAGUAAUUCAUCAAAAUGGCAGAAGCCACCACCUUAAAUACCAUCUUUAGUUAAAGACAAAGGAGGAUGUUGGGGGUAGUGGUUUGGGACUUCAAAGAGGAGAAAGGCAAUUCACAUGGAGAUGGAAAAGCAAAUGUUUGAUAAACAAAUGUUUGCUGGGCCAUCUAUAGACAAUGGGACCCAACAGAGAACUUUGAUAAAAAAUAGGCCUUGCUAGGUGCCUUCCUGCCCACCACACCUAGAGUUAUCUAUGGUGAUAGCUCCUUCCUGGCACAGCCCUUCUAUCUUAAAUUCUUUUAGGCAGUUAGAGGGGGAGGGUCAAAGUUUCUGUCUGAGUCUUUUAUUCUUAAAAACAGUCAAGCAAGAGACAUUUUGUGGUGGCAAAUACUGAUCCCCCACAAUCUCAAGGAAAAGAAGGGGCCAAUUUGCAAAAAGGCCCAGAACUUUCUGGAGUUCAGGGAUGCUGAGGUGGCUUAUUAGAAAGCAGGUCAGGACCACCAACAGGAGCCCACCUCCAGGGAGGCAGCACUGGAUGUGACCUGGGGUCAAUAAGAAACCAUGAUGCUGUGAGGGCUUGCCUGAGUCUGCCAUCUCUUGGCUUCCUCAUCUG